rnacentral:lncRNA from 1 species
UUGGAAGCAUCCUUCUUCAACCGUGUGCUUCUCCUUAGCGGUGCUUCAGCCGGGACAUUAUCCCUUGAUGAGACUGAGACUGGUUCAGUUUCUUCUUGCUGUUCUUCUUGCUGUUGCACAUUGUCUUCCUCUUCUUGGAAACUUUCUUCAGGUUCUGGUUCACCCAUUGCCUCAACCCCUUCAUCUUGCAUCAUCACACACUGAUCAGGGUCUCUCAAGCCUUCUUCUGGAUGGCUUGCUUCUUCAGUUUCAUUCCCCCUCUCAUGAU